AUGAUUUUAACGCUGUACGGCCCCCGCGCUGCCGCCGGGACUGGGGGACGGCCCCGGGAUGGGCGAGCUGCCCCACGGCCCCAGCCCCGCCGCCCCACAGCGCAGCUCACCUCCUGCUCCGUGCCUGCUUCACCCGCGCCGGGAGCCGCCGUGGUGGGGGUCACCGGGUGCGUCCGCCCAGACCCGCAACGCCUCCUGCAAUGUCACAGGUUUAUUUACAAUAAAGAAUUGGAAAAUGGGUGGGGUUCUGCCUUUCUGCAGGGCCGGAUGAGCAGCGCGAGGCCGGGCAGUGCUGCGCGCUCGUGCCCAGAGUUCCUCCAACAUCCAGGGCCUGCCACAACUCACUGCCCCCAUUUGUCCCCCUGGGCUCUGUGUCCCCCUUGUCCUGCAGUCCCUCGUCCCAUAGGGUCACUGGGAUGCUCACUCCCCUGGUCUCAUUUGUCCCCCUCAUCCCUUGGUGUCACUGGGAUGCUCGCUGCCCUGGUCCUAUUUGUCCCCCUUGUCCCCUGGUCCUCUGUCCUAUGGGGUCAUGUGGAUGCUCAUUCCCCUCGUCCCCACGUCCCCUGUCCCCUGGGCUCAUUGGGAUGCCCAUUCCCCUGGUCCCAUUUGUCCCCCUUGUCCUCUUGUCCCCUGGUCCCCUGCCCCACGGGGUCACUGGGAUUGCCCAUUCCCGAGGUCCCAGCCCACACGGAACAACCUCAGCCCGGCCCAACCCUCCCCCCCCUCCGCCCUCCCCCUUCCCAGCCGUCUCCUCACCGCAUCAGCCACGAGAGGGCUCUCCCUGCCCGCUCCUCGCACCGACGGCCGGCACAGGAUGCUCCUCCGGCCCCGAGGCACCGCCAGGCCACGCGUGUUGCUCGCGCCCCAGCCCGGAGGAUGAAGGCACAGUGCGGGGCUGCGGCUCCUCCUGCUCUUCGGGGUCCUCCAGAAGAGCGCGGUUUUGCUCCCAGCCUCGAGGGAGGUGCAGCUCAGAGGAGCAAUUUCGGGCCGGCGUCCGCUUGUCGCGGUGCUGAGCGCAUCAGAAGUGAUGUGGGAGCACAGCCCGGGAACGCCGAGUCCCUCAGGGCCGUCGGGGUCAGGAGGGCACGGAUCCGGCGUUGGGUUCCCGGCCCCUCCGCGCUCCUCCCCGGUGCGAUGCGUCCUCCUGUAACACAGCACCAAAAUCGGUGA
rnacentral:lncRNA from 1 species